AUGGUGCAUGCGCUGCUCUUCCUCCGCAUGUCGCCACGGUCUUCUGCAGCUACCAUGAUCCGCCCCAUGCGCCUUCUGCUGACGACCUGCACGCCUCGCCACCCACGCCACCGCUGCUGGCCGUUCCUAGGGCGGCUCCCCCACCCCUGCACCCAGGCCAGGGAGGUUUUCGAUCUGAAUCUGGAGCCUGUCGCGCUGCCAGCGGUGGGAGAGGUGUCGGAGGCCUUGGAUCCACCGGGGUGCGAGCCAAUGCACCCGGCCAUGCUGCCAUCUAGCCAGCAAGGGGCUGACCUUUCCCGUCGAUGCAGCUCGUGCAUCAGGCAGGUGUAUGACGACAUUCGGAUGGGCUCCGUUGAGCGAGCUUCCAAGCGGAAGGCGGCGGCGUCUGAUUCUAGGUCUGGCUCGGGUGGUAGCGCCACUCGCCGAUCCAGCGCUUCGGCUGCUCGUCGCAAGAAGGCAAAGGCGGUGGCUGGGCUCCUCGAGUUGCCGCUGGCGGCGACCCCGUCGCCGUUGACAAGGCGAAUUCUCAAGCUGCUUGCUGAGCAAUGCGACCUCAAUGCAACUACCAUCUUCAACCAAGUGCAAGCCCGUGCAACAUCUUCUGAAGCAGUGGCCUCCCCUUCUACUUCCAGCUCCUCUGCAUCUUCAGUGCGUGUCCUCGGCUACCCAUAUGUGUAG
rnacentral:rRNA from 1 species